rnacentral:pre_miRNA from 1 species
AAAAAGUAAACUCUGAAUUUUUCAUGUCCAACUUUAACUGUCCGUCUUAUAUGAAAACUUUUUAUAAUUCGUAUUUUUAUUGUUGUUAGAUGAUAAAACAUGAUUAAUAUUUUAUGCGUGACUUGUAUUUUUAAUUUUUUUUAUAAAUUUUUUAAAUAAAACGGAAAACUCUUUUUAUGGGACGGGACGG